ACAAAAUUUACUGCAGCUCAACUUCAAGAAAAGCUGGUGGAAAGUUUCAAUAGCUCCCUCUAUACUGGUAUAACAGUAGACGUAACUUCAAUUAUUUUGGAGGAGAUACCUGGGGAGGAGAUAGCACCUGCUGGGUUGUCGACCGGAGCUAUUGCCGGCAUAGCCGUUGGGGCUGGAGUGGGUGGA